CCUACGGGAGGCAGCAGUGAGGAAUAUUGGUCAAUGGGCGGGAGCCUGAACUAGCCAAGCCGCGUGAAGGAAGAAGGCGCCAGGCGUCGUAAACUUCUUUUGUCGGGGAACAAAGGGCGCCACGCGUGGCGUUGUGAGUGUACCCGAAGAAAAAGCAUCGGCUAACUCCGUGCCAGCAGCCGCGGUAAUACGGAGGAUGCGAGCGUUAUCCGGAUUUAUUGGGUUUAAAGGGAGCGUAGGCGGGCCGUUAAGUCAGUUGUGAAAGUUCGGGGCUCAACCCCGGAAUUGCAGUUGAAACUGCCGGU
rnacentral:rRNA from 1 species